UACGUAGGGUGCGAGCGUUAAUCGGAAUACUGGGCGUAAAGCGUGCGCAGGCGGUGAUGUAAGACAGAUGUGAAAUCCCCGGGCUCAACCUGGGAACUGCAUUUGUGACUGCAUCGCUGGAGUGCGGCAGAGGGGGAUGGAAUUCCGCGUGUAGCAGUGAAAUGCGUAGAUAUGCGGAGGAACACCGAUGGCGAAGGCAAUCCCCUGGGCCUGCACUGACGCUCAUGCACGAAAGCGUGGGGAGCGAAACAAGG
rnacentral:rRNA from 1 species